UAAUGAGAAAGAAAGCCUAAUAAUUGGCUAAGAGUGGAUUGCUAUGCUCUUCUGUACCAGGGAUGAAAAACCUAGAGCCCCAGGGUCCUUUAAAUAGUGUUAGAGGUGUUCUAAAACUGGGCCCGAUCCGAAAGAAUCGAAAUAGAGCAGAAACAAGGCCCGAUCCACGAGAAUUCUCGUCGAGGCGUCCAAGGAGCUCGCUCGGGCGAGAAGAGAGCCCCCGAUAUAGCCCGUGCCAUCAAUUGGUCGCCCAAGCUACGAGGGCUCGUCGCCUAGCUGUCUAGAACUCUCGCCCGGGCGAGUGACGUCGAUACAAGUCGCUUGAGCUUCGCUUCUGGUCGUCCAGGCUUCG
rnacentral:lncRNA from 1 species